rnacentral:rRNA from 1 species
CAACUUUCAACAACGGAUCUCUUGGUUCUGGCAUCGAUGAAGAACGCAGCGAAAUGCGAUAAGUAGUGUGAAUUGCAGAAUUCAGUGAAUCAUUGAAUCUUUGAACGCACAUUGCGCCCCUUGGUAUUCCAUGGGGCAUGCCUGUUCGAGCGUCAUUU